UACGGAGGGUGCAAACGUUGCUCGGAAUCAUUGGGCGUAAAGCGCACGCAGGCGGUCCAGCAAGUCGGGAGUGAAAUCCCUCGGCUUAACCGAGGAAGUGCUUUCGAAACUACUGGACUUGAAUACUGGAGAGGGUUGCGGAAUUCCCGGUGUAGAGGUGAAAUUCGUAGAUAUUCGCAAGAACACCAGUGGCGAAGGCGGCUCACUGGCCCGAUACUGACGCUGAGGCACGAAAGCGUGGGGAGCAAACAGG
rnacentral:rRNA from 1 species